AUGGCAUCCCCCUAAGACCUCAGAGGUGGCCGGCUCAAGAAAGUGUCUUCAAGUCCUGAAACUGGGCGGGAAGAGGCAUGGCAUCUAGGAAUCUUUUCUGCCGGUUUCAAAGUCCCAACAGUCUCCUGGAAACUGUACCGUGCCUACGAUUUACUAAAAAGCCAAGCAGGAGCUCAUUUGACAAAGCAAUAUUCAAGGUCAACAAUUUUUCUCCAGUAUACACAGCUGUUUCAAAACGUUGCUUUGGGAGAAUGCAGUGAGGUCCUGAGUUCAAUUCCCAGCAACCACAUGGUGGCUCACAACCAUCUGUAAUGGGAUCAGAUGCCUUCUUCCGGUGUGUCUGAAGACUGUACUCACAUACAUAAAGAAUUUGAUCAGUUUGAUGAAAUUUCAUUGAUGUCAACUAUCCAGCUGUCUGUGCCUUACCAAAAGAGCUGUUUGCCUCCAGGACAAUAAACAGCCCGUGUGAUCCUUUCUCUUGCUUAAGCAGGAAGUCACCACUCAACAGGAAGGAAUUUAAAACCAAUCCCACAAAAU
rnacentral:lncRNA from 1 species